rnacentral:lncRNA from 1 species
AAAGGGGGUGUCCAUCUUUUACUUUGGCAUUGGAUUUGUGAGAAUGUGGUGACAACUAAUGAAGAGUCCAAGAUCUCUUGGACUCUUAUAACCCAACUCCUUACAUGCCAAAUAAAGAGGGUCUAAUCUCUUUUGUGCAUGUAAGAAAGAAACCAGAGAGGUCUUUCAUGAUAAAAGGGGUUUGGUGCAUCAAUCCAUGG